UUGGUUCUCCUAGCAACAAAAGGAAAUCUAAAUUUCUUGGUGUUCUUCCCUCUCCCCUAGCUCUAAGUUUUCAAUUCUACUUUUACCUCUUUUUCUCUAACUCCCCAAAACACGUAUUGUAACCUCUAUCCCCUCACAAUUCUCUUUUUUUAUCCAAAAACCUAAUUCCCUCGCUAGGUUAUCCCCAUAUUAACCUUAAUAUUUUUCUAUAAUGCCUACUUUAUCUUCACUUACUCAACAUAAGCC
rnacentral:lncRNA from 1 species